rnacentral:lncRNA from 1 species
CUUCUUCCCUUCUCCUACCCCCAGGCCCCCUGCUACGUGGAGGCUAAUUGUUGCCUAAGGAAAGAACACCCCAGUUUUUGCCAGUUGGUUUGUGAUUCUGAAGACACAGUGGCAGCUACCUGCAGCCUGGGACCUGGGGCCAGGGCCAGCUUUUAAUUGGGGAAAAAUAAGAAAAAGAGAAGUAGUUAAUUCCAUGGAGACUGGAACAACCUCCAGGAAGUGAUGCAGAGCGAGAGGAGCAGAACCAGGAGAACAUUGUACACAGAGACUGAUACACUGUGGUACAAUCGAAUGUAAUAGAC